AACGAACGCUGGCGGCAUGCCUAACACAUGCGAGUCGAACGAGAUCUUCGGGUCUAGUGGCGCACGGGUGCGUAACGCGUGGGAAUCUGCCCUUUGGUUCGGAAUAACAGUUGGAAACGACUGCUAAUACCGGAUGAUGACGAAAGUCCAAAGAUUUAUCGCCAGAGGAUGAGCCCGCGUAGGAUUAGCUAGUUGGUGUGGUAAAGGCGCACCAAGGCGACGAUCCUUAGCUGGUCUGAGAGGAUGAUCAGCCACACUGGGACUGAGACACGGCCCAGACUCCUACGGGAGGCAGCAGUGGGGAAUAUUGGACAAUGGGCGAAAGCUUGAUCCAGCAAUGCCGCGUGAGUGAUGAAGGCCUUAGGGUUGUAAAGCUCUUUUACCCGGGAUGAUAAUGACAGUACCGGGAGAAUAAGCUCCGGCUAACUCCGUGCCAGCCGCCGCGGUAA
rnacentral:rRNA from 1 species